UACGUAGGUGGCAAGCGUUACUCGGAAUCACUGGGCGUAAAGCGCAGGUAGGCGGUUCGGUAAGUCUCUUGUGAAAGCUCCCGGCUCAACUGGGAGAGGUCAAGGGAAACUGCCGGGCUAGAGUGUGGCAGAGGAAGCUGGAAUUCCCGGUGUAGCGGUGAAAUGCGUAGAGAUCGGGAGGAAUACCUAUGGCGAAAGCAGGCUUCUGGGCCAUCACUGACACUGAUCUGCGAAAGCUAGGGGAGCAAACAGG
rnacentral:rRNA from 1 species